rfam:Camelus ferus unplaced genomic scaffold scaffold971, whole genome shotgun sequence.
ACGGGUGUAGCUCAAGUGGCAGAGCACAUGCUUCGCAUGCAUGAGGUCCUGGGUUCAAUCCCCAGCACCUCUU